AACUCCUGAGUUUUAACUUGUUUUGAACAGUUGCCUUUGGGUUGUUUGUUGGUUUGUUUUGGUAAUGCUAGUUUCAAGAAAUGUACAAUAUAUACUGAGUUCUUAAAGCUGUAUUACCUUUGAAUGUGAAAUGUAUAUUGAGAGCAGUCUCAGUUGGUAUGGAAAUACUCUGGUAUAGAUACAUCUACUUCUACCUUUGUAGCCCGAGUUUCUCUGACUGUGUUUUAGAAACAGCCAUUGCUAUCUUAAAGGCAUAUGUAAAGUUUGUAUAUGGUACUUUGAUACUCAGCAUGUAUUCUGUGAGCACUGUAAGAAUAUGCUCUAUAGAAUAUAGUAUAAUCUCAUGUAGGAGACACAGAACAUCAAGAGAAUAUUGAAAGUGGCUCCUGCCUACUGGUUGGGAAUUAAGAUGAGAUUUUUGUACAGAUGGCAGUUAAAUUGAUUCUUGAAAGAAUAGUGUGGUGUUGUCACAGUUGUGUGUGUGGCAGAAGUGAUGAUCUGUAUGGACACACCGGAGAUGGGGAAGCUAGGGUUUCAGCAGAAAGUAUAGGAUGAGUUAGACUGGUGAAUUAUGCUAGUAAACACAUUUAGCAUGAUUUGGGUUUUAGUGUACAGAAAUGUGAUAUUUUUUAUGUGCUGACAACCAGCAGGGAUAUUAGAUGUGUUGUAAGAACACCAUGCUUUGAUAAUGGAUCAGGAAAGGAGGAAUUGGCAACAAGGAAGACUGAGGCAAUAACCUCGGCAAAAGGAGAUAGAUGAUAAAAUUACAAAAAAAAUUACAACCAUAACAAGGAUAGAUACAUUCCCAUGCAUUAACUAGUAAGUGGCAUAUAAAAGAAGAAUUUAAAAAUGAUUCUGAGGCUGAAAUCCAUACAGUUGGGACAAUAACAGUAUUAUUUUCAAACACAAUAAAAAGAAUCAGGUUAUAAGGAAAUUCAUAAUUUUAAACAUAUUGAGUUCAAAUUUUAUAUGGCAGGAAGGACAGCCAGCUGGAAAUGUCAUCUUGAGAGAGUUGGAACCAUAUUUGUGUAUGUGGGAAUCAUGUGUGUGGAAGUGAGAGCUGGAGCCUGCGAGUGAGGAGGGAUGAUGGAAGGAGAACUAUGGGAGAAAUACCAAAGGACUGUGUGGCUAUGCCCAUGGACGAAGGAGAUCUCACAAGACAGAGAAACCGCACACAAGCGUAGAGCAGUAGGAAAUGGAACUACAGGUUCUCAAAGCUACUAAAAUUUAGAAAUUUUUACAGUGAGUUAUUUAGGUUAUCUGAAUGAGAUGCCGUUGCUAUUGUUAGGAAGAAUAAUUCAGCAACCUUAUUUUCAACAGUAAUCUGCUAGAUUGUGAUAUUAAAAUUAUAUUUGAAAGUUACUUUAUAAUUUUUUUUUGAGAAACUGGGUCUCUCUAUGUCAUCCUGGCUGUCCUGGAACACACUAUAUAGAGUUGAAUUUUGAACUCACAGAGAUCUGCCUGCCUCUGCCUCCCUCUCAGCCUCCGAGUACUGGGAUUAAAGGUGUGCACCACCAUCCUUAGUCCUUAAUGUCUAUAUUUGAUGGAUAGAUUUUGAUAUCCUUUCUUUGGAAAACAUAAAUUAGUCAUUUUUAAGCUUGCAUGAACCUUGUUUCAUACACAGAAUAUCAAGAUACAAAUAAUAUUCACUAGGUAAAGCUUUGUUUAGAAAAAGAUAUCACUUUAUUUUAAAGUAUCAAUUUAUUUUCUUAAACAAAUUUGAAAUUAGAAAGGAGUC
rnacentral:lncRNA from 1 species